UACGAAGGGGGCUAGCGUUGUUCGGAAUUACUGGGCGUAAAGCGCACGCAGGCGGCGCGAUAAAUUAGAAGUGAAAGCCCCGGGCUUAACCUGGGAAUUGCUUUUAAGACUGUCGCGCUAGAAUCCAGAAGAGGGUAGUGGAAUUCCGAGUGUAGAGGUGAAAUUCGUAGAUAUUCGGAAGAACACCAGUGGCGAAGGCGACUACCUGGUCUGGCAUUGACGCUCAUGUGCGAAAGCGUGGGGAGCAAACAGG
rnacentral:rRNA from 1 species